CACGUAGGGGGCGAGCGUUGUUCGGAAUCAUUGGGCGUAAAGGGCGCGCAGGCGGCGUUUAAAGUCUGGCGUGGAAGUCCCCGGCUCAACCGGGGGACGGCGUUGGAAACUGGGACGCUUGAGUAAGGCAGGGGAUGGCGGAAUUCCAGGUGUAGGGGUGAAAUCUGUAGAUAUCUGGAGGAACACCGACGGCGAAGGCAGCCAUCUGGUCCAUUACUGACGCUGAGGCGCGAAGGUGCGGGGAGCAAACAGGUUUAGAUACC
rnacentral:rRNA from 1 species